rnacentral:rRNA from 1 species
CCCUUAGAUGUUCUGGGCUGCACGCGCGCUACACUGAUGCGCUCAACGAGUUUAUGACCUUGCCCGGAAGGGUUGGGUAAUCUUCUUAAAACGCAUCGUGAUGGGGAUAGAUUAUUGCAAUUAUUAAUCUUCAACGAGGAAUUCCUAGUAAGCGCGAGUCAUCAGCUCGUGCUGAUUACGUCCCUGCCCUUUGUACACACCGCCCGUCGCUCCUACCGAUUGAGCGAUCCGGUGAAUAAUUCGGACUGCAGCAGUGUUCGGUCACGAACGUUGCAGCGGAAAGUUUAGUGAACCUUAUCACUUAGAGGAAGGAGAAGUCGUAACA